AUAUCAGCUGUUAGCCUUGUGACUAGUGGAAUAAUUUGGGACAUGCCAUGUCGGUAGAUAGAAAUAAUAAGUGAAGGUACCCACGCUGCGCCAGCAUGUUGGAGAGGUCUGAGUGUGAGCCAAUGCCAGAGUAAAAACGAGGUGGGUGCACGAGCCAUCAUCUUGCCUUGGAGGCAGUGCUAGUACUUCUGGCCUCUCUUUAGUCUUGCUGACAGUCACGAGUAGGUUGUGUUGUUCAGGUCAGGUCUUUACAUCUUUUCGAGAAAAAAGCCACAGUAUAGUAUGUCUAAAAAUAAUAAAAAGCCAUAGUAUAGUAUUUCUAAAAAGUCAU